CCCUUAGACGUUCUGGGCCGCACGCGCGCUACACUGACCAGUGCAACAAGCAUCCGUCCUUGGCCGAUAGGUCUGGGUAAUCUUUGAACGCUGUUCGUGAUUGGGAUAGACCUUUGCAAUUAUGGGUCUUCAACGAGGAAUUCCUAGUAAACGCAAGUCAUCAGCUUGCAUUGAUUACGUCCCUGCCCUUUGUACACACCGCCCGUCGCACCUACCGAUUGAAUGGUCCGGUGAAAUCUCGGGACGGCGGCUUGGUCGCUUGCGUCCGACUGCUGAAACUUGAUUAAACCAUNUNAUUUAGNGGAAGGUGAANUCGUANCA
rnacentral:rRNA from 1 species